rnacentral:rRNA from 1 species
ACACCGGGGGGGGUGCCUAUACAUGCAAGUCGAACGCGUUGGCCCAAUUGAUUGAUGGUGCUUGCACCUGAUUGAUUUUGGUCGCCAACGAGUGGCGGACGGGUGAGUAACACGUAGGUAACCUGCCCAGAAGCGGGGGACAACAUUUGGAAACAGAUGCUAAUACCGCAUAACAGCGUUGUUCGCAUGAACAACGCUUAAAAGAUGGCUUCUCGCUAUCACUUCUGGAUGGACCUGCGGUGCAUUAGCUUGUUGGUGGGGUAACGGCCUACCAAGGCGAUGAUGCAUAGCCGAGUUGAGAGACUGAUCGGCCACAAUGGGACUGAGACACGGCCCAUACUCCUACGGGAGGCAGCAGUAGGGAAUCUUCCACAAUGGGCGCAAGCCUGAUGGAGCAACACCGCGUGAGUGAAGAAGGGUUUCGGCUCGUAAAGCUCUGUUGUUAAAGAAGAACACGUAUGAGAGUAACUGUUCAUACGUUGACGGUAUUUAACCAGAAAGUCACGGCUAACUACGUGCCAGCAGCCGCGGUAAUACGUAGGUGGCAAGCGUUAUCCGGAUUUAUUGGGCGUAAAGAGAGUGCAGGCGGUUUUCUAAGUCUGAUGUGAAAGCCUUCGGCUUAACCGGAGAAGUGCAUCGGAAACUGGAUAACUUGAGUGCAGAAGAGGGUAGUGGAACUCCAUGUGUAGCGGUGGAAUGCGUAGAUAUAUGGAAGAACACCAGUGGCGAAGGCGGCUACCUGGUCUGCAACUGACGCUGAGACUCGAAAGCAUGGGUAGCGAACAGGAUUAGAUACCCUGGUAGUCCAUGCCGUAAACGAUGAGUGCUAGGUGUUGGAGGGUUUCCGCCCUUCAGUGCCGGAGCUAACGCAUUAAGCACUCCGCCUGGGGAGUACGACCGCAAGGUUGAAACUCAAAGGAAUUGACGGGGGCCCGCACAAGCGGUGGAGCAUGUGGUUUAAUUCGAAGCUACGCGAAGAACCUUACCAGGUCUUGACAUCUUGCGCCAACCCUAGAGAUAGGGCGUUUCCUUCGGGAACGCAAUGACAGGUGGUGCAUGGUCGUCGUCAGCUCGUGUCGUGAGAUGUUGGGUUAAGUCCCGCAACGAGCGCAACCCUUGUUACUAGUUGCCAGCAUUAAGUUGGGCACUCUAGUGAGACUGCCGGUGACAAACCGGAGGAAGGUGGGGACGACGUCAGAUCAUCAUGCCCCUUAUGACCUGGGCUACACACGUGCUACAAUGGACGGUACAACGAGUCGCGAACUCGCGAGGGCAAGCAAAUCUCUUAAAACCGUUCUCAGUUCGGACUGCAGGCUGCAACUCGCCUGCACGAAGUCGGAAUCGCUAGUAAUCGCGGAUCAGCAUGCCGCGGUGAAUACGUUCCCGGGCCUUGUACACACCGCCCGUCACACCAUGAGAGUUUGUAACACCCAAAGUCGGUGGGGUAACCUUUUAGGAGCCAGCCGCCUAAGGUGAACAAGAAUUG